rnacentral:rRNA from 1 species
CGCGCAGGCGGUUCUUUAAGUCUGAUGUGAAAUCUUGCGGCUCAACCGCAAGCGGUCAUUGGAAACUGGGGAACUUGAGUGCAGAAGAGGAAAGCGGAAUUCCACGUGUAGCGGUGAAAUGCGUAGAGAUGUGGAGGAACACCAGUGGCGAAGGCGGCUUUCUGGCCUGUAACUGACGCUGAGGCGCGAAAGCGUGGGAGCAAACA